rnacentral:tmRNA from 1 species
GGGGGCGUACUGGUUUCGACCAUGUGGAUGCGCCGGAGGCGGCAUGCCGAGGAUGGUUCGUUGGCCUCGUAAAAAAUCGAACCAAAAAAAUAAAAGCUAACGAAGAGUUGGCCCUCGCGGCCUAGUCCGCGACGCUCGUUCCUGGAUCCCGGCUAAGGGAAACGAGCGCAUUUAGUCGGGAUGGUGGAUCGACGGAGACAGCGCGUUGAUCGCCGAGAAAAUUCAUGCUGACUAAGCGAUCCGUUUCGCGCCGGGGUGAGCGCGGGUUGCCGACAAUUGACCCUGGCUAAGCAUGUAGUCGCGGCCGGUUUAUUUGCUUGGGACGCGGGUUCAACUCCCGCCGCCUCCACGC